UACAUAGGGGGCAAGCGUUAUCCGGAAUUAUUGGGUGUAAAGGGUGCGUAGACGGGUGUUUAAGUUGGUUGUGAAAUCCCUCGGCUCAACUGAGGAACUGCAACCAAAACUGGAUAUCUCGAGUGUCGGAGAGGAAAGUGGAAUUCCUAGUGUAGCGGUGAAAUGCGUAGAUAUUAGGAGGAACACCAGUGGCGAAGGCGACUUUCUGGACGAUAACUGACGUUGAGGCACGAAGGCCAGGGGAGCGAAAG
rnacentral:rRNA from 1 species